UGCAGUCGAGCGACUAGAUAGGGAGCUUGCUCCUAANAGAGUUAGCGGCGGACGGGUGAGUAACACGUGGGCAACCUGCCCUGUAGAUCGGGAUAACAUCGAGAAAUCGGUGCUAAUACCGGAUAAUUUCUAGAAUCUCAUGGUUCUAGAAUAAAAGAUGGCUCCGGCUAUCACUACGGGAUGGGCCCGCGGCGCAUUAGCUAGUUGGUAAGGUAACGGCUUACCAAGGCGACGAUGCGUAGCCGACCUGAGAGGGUGAUCGGCCACACUGGGACUGAGACACGGCCCAGACUCCUACGGGAGGCAGCAGUAGGGAAUCUUCCGCAAUGGACGAAAGUCUGACGGAGCAACGCCGCGUGAGUGAUGAAGGAUUUCGGUUCGUAAAGCUCUGUUGUUAGGGAAGAACAAGUGCCGUUCAAAUAGGGCGGCACCUUGACGGUACCUAACCAGAAAGCCACGGCUAACUACGUGCCAGCAGCCGCGGUAAUACGUAGGUGGCAAGCGUUGUCCGGAAUUAUUGGGCGUAAAGCGCGCGCAGGCGGUCUUUUAAGUCUGAUGUGAAAGCCCACGGCUCAACCGUGGAGGGUCAUUGGAAACUGGGAGACUUGAGUACAGAAGAGGAGAGUGGAAUUCCACGUGUAGCGGUGAAAUGCGUAGAUAUGUGGAGGAACACCAGUGGCGAAGGCGACUCUCUGGUCUGUAACUGACGCUGAGGCGCGAAAGCGUGGGGAGCAAACAGGAUUAGAUACCCUGGUAGUCCACGCCGUAAACGAUGAGUGCUAGGUGUUAGGGGUUUCGAUGCCCUUAGUGCCGAAGUUAACACAUUAAGCACUCCGCCUGGGGAGUACGACCGCAAGGUUGAAACUCAAAGGAAUUGACGGGGGCCCGCACAAGCAGUGGAGCAUGUGGGUUUAAUUCGAAGCAACGCGAAGAACCUUACCAGGUCUUGACAUCCUUUUGCC
rnacentral:rRNA from 2 species